CAUUACAAGUGAGGCUACCGAACGUUGGAAACAGCGGUUAGGAGCUUACACCCACCCGUGUCUAUAUACUAUUGUUGCUUUGGCGGGCCGUGGCCUCCACUGCGGGCUCUGCUCGUGUGUGCCCGCCAGAGAACCAAACUCUGAAUGUUAGUGAUGUCUGAGUACUAUCUAAUAGUUAAAACUUUCAACAACGGAUCUCUUGGUUCUGGCAUCGAUGAAGAACGCAGCGAAAUGCGAUAAGUAAUGUGAAUUGCAGAAUUCAGUGAAUCAUCGAAUCUUUGAACGCACAUUGCGCCCUGUGGUAUUCCGCAGGGCAUGCCUGUUCGAGCGUCAUUUAACCACUCACGCCUAGCGUGGUAUUGGGGCACGCGGUCUCCGCGGCCCUCAAAAUUAGUGGCGGCGCCGGUGGGCUCUAAGCGUAGUACAUACUCCCGCUAUAGAGUUCCCCCGGUGGCUCGCCAGAACCCCCAAUUUUUACAGGUUGACCUCGGAUCAGGUAGGGAUACCCGCUGAACUUAAGCAUAUCAAUAAGCGGAGGAAAAGAAACCAACAGGGAUUACCUCAGUAACGGCGAGUGAAGCGGUAACAGCUCAAAUUUGAAAGCUGCCAACAGGCCGCGUUGUAAUUUGUAGAAGCUGCUUUGGGUGUCGGCCCGGUCUAAGUUCCUUGGAACAGGACGUCAUAGAGGGUGAGAAUCCCGUAUGUGAUCGGUGCCGUUGCCCGUGUAAAGCGCUUUCGACGAGUCGAGUUGUUUGGGAAUGCAGCUCAAAAUGGGUGGUAAAUUUCAUCUAAAGCUAAAUAUUGGCCAGAGACCGAUAGCGCACAAGUAGAGUGAUCGAAAGAUGAAAAGCACUUUGGAAAGAGAGUUAAACAGUACGUGAAAUUGUUGAAAGGGAAGCGCUUGCAACCAGACUUGCGGGCGGUCGAUCAUCCGAGGUUCUCCCCGGUGCACUCGAUCGUUCUCAGGCCAGCAUCGGUUUCCGGGGUGGGAUAAAGGCGGUGGGAAUGUGGCUCUUCGGAGUGUUAUAGCCCACCGUGCAAUGCCGCCACUGGGGACCGAGGACCGCGCUUCGGCUAGGA
rnacentral:rRNA from 1 species